ACUCCUACGGGAGGCAGCAGUGGGGAAUAUUGCACAAUGGGCGCAAGCCUGAUGCAGCCAUGCCGCGUGUGUGAAGAAGGCCUUCGGGUUGUAAAGCACUUUCAGCGGGGAGGAAGGCGUUAAGGUUAAUAACCUUGGCGAUUGACGUACCGCAGA
rnacentral:rRNA from 1 species